GAGCCCUGCGAGCAGAUUUGUGAUCAGGACACAGGAGAAUGCAGCUGUCAUGAGGGUUAUUCCCCCGAUCCUGUCCACAAACACCUCUGUGUUCGCAGCGACUGGGGUCGAAAUGAAGGUCCUUGGCCAUACGCUAACUUGGAGAAAGGCUAUGACCUAGUUACAGGAGAGCAGGCCCCAGAGAGGAUCUUCAGAUCAUUCUACAGUCUCGGGCAAGGGUUGUGGCUGCCAGUCAGCAAGAGCUUUGUGGUGCCACCAGUGGAACUAUCAAUCAACCCCAUCGCCAGCUGUAAGACAGACGUGUUGGUUACUGAAGACCCAGGGGAGGUCAGGUCAGUCUGAUUCAGCUCAAAGCUCCACAUUUGAAAAACUGUGCAAAGCACUUUCCCUGCUGUCCUCUGCUGUCCUGUCUGGUCUAUACAAUUUUUUUUUUGGAGGGU